rnacentral:rRNA from 1 species
UACGUAGGGCGCAAGCGUUUGUCCGGAAUUAUUGGGCGUAAAGAGCUCGUAGGCGGUUUGUCGCGUCUGCUGUGAAAACCCGAGGCUCAACCUCGGGCCUGCAGUGGGUACGGGCAGACUAGAGUGUGGUAGGGGAGACUGGAAUUCCUGGUGUAGCGGUGAAAUGCGCAGAUAUCAGGAGGAACACCGAUGGCGAAGGCAGGUCUCUGGGCCACUACUGACGCUGAGAAGCGAAAGCAUGGGGAGCGAACAGG